CUUAGUAAACAAUAGGUUAUGGCACAUGAAAAAGGGAAAAAAAAAGUGAGACUUUUACACAUGGUGGUUGAGACAUAGUUAACCUUAGAAAGGUGGAUGUCAUGCUUAUAAACUUAUAAUCCUUCAACCACCAAAAAGCUACAUUUUUUUAUUUUUCCCCCCUAUAAAUAAGAGCUUCACUUGAAUACAUUUUCCCAUAAAAAUCUAACAGUCUCAUCUUAUACACUUCUAAAAAAAUAAUAAAAUUAGCGAUAGCUAAACAACAAAAUCUGUUACUAAUCCUAUUUAGUGACGGAUUAGCAACAAUUUUCAAUAUUUUUAUUUAGUUACCAGCAAUUCAACGACGAAGUUCGUACUAUAUAUAUAUAUACCAUUAUGUCUCUUCUCAAUAAUAAUAUCGUGUCUCUUUUCUUGAGUACCAAUAAAUCAGAUGGAGUAAGAAGAAAAAGAAGGAAAAAACCCUAUCGAAGUUUGCUGGUACUUUUUCUAACUAUACAAAACUUUAGAUUCAUGUUGAUAGUUAAAAUCACACUAGCUACGAUUUUUAAAAAAAAUAGUUUUGUGACUUUACUAUUAUUAUUAUGACUAAAAUUUAUCUAGUUUGAAGCCAAAAAAAAGUUUUAUUGUGAUUUUAGUGUUAUGAUGAGUAAAAGUUUAGUGACUAUAUGUGAAAUUUACCCUCGUAUUGCCUUUGGUUGUAGUAGAGGCGGAUCCACUAUUUUAGUUAUGAAUUUAGUAGAAUCAAUAUAUUAUGAUAAAAUUUUCAUCUACUAUGUCUAUAUAGAAAAAUUAUUAUCGCCAAAAAUUGACAAAUUAAAUAUUUUUAAUCCGCCUCUAGGUUCUAAACUUCUUCUUAUAGUGUUAUUGUUAUUUCUUUUCAUCUUCUUAUUUUAAUUUCUAGCUUGUUAGUUAGGGCUAAUGACAUCUAGACAAAUCUUCUAAACUAUUAUGCUAUAUACUUAUAAUUGCAAGUAUUGAAAUUAAUUCAUGCAAACAUAAUGAAAAUAUUACACACAACAAAAAGUAAUAUAUAUACCUAGGUGAUAUUGGGAAUAUAUUUUCAUCAUGUUAGUACGUUUAUUUGGUUUAGAAAAUAUAGAAUUUAAAUCUAUCCUCCUUUUUUUUUUCUUUUUCAGGAUACAAUUAGAUAAAUCAUCUGGAACAUUCAUUUGAGCAAGAAAGUCAGAGUUAGUAAGACGAUGAAGGUACGAGGAUGAUGUUGUUUUAACCAACCUCAACCUCGGACCUUCAUCUAUAACGUCAAUCAUUACGCACGACGAAGCGUUCAUCACCUCUAUUUCACAUAAUAUUUCACUCAAAGAAAAUUUUGUGCAUGGCCCAAAGACAACAUGAAGUUUGUUAAUUAGUUGAGGCCUAUAUACAUAACACACAACAAAAAAUGCCUUUAGUGGCAUUAGAUUCAAGAUUUAUAAUUUUGUUGAUUCAAUAUUAAAGAUUAUCAACAUUAUUUUCAUUAUAUUAUUAUAGUUAUGAACUCGUAUAUGUUAUUUAUUGUAAUAACAAAGACCUUAUGACACUCAUAUUCAGAUUAAUUUAGGUUAUGGGUGUAAAUAAUAUAUGAGACAAAAUCCUCUUAAACUUUAUAUUGUAAUUGACAUUUUCUCAUCAAUAAUUCUUAUUUUGUCUUAAUUUGAGUUUCUGGAACAGCAAUUAUUGUUUUCUGGUUCAAUGCACACAUAUAAUCUUUUCAAUGAAUAAUUAAAGUGCUUUUUCGUGUUUGUCUUCUUAUCAAUGUCAUUUUCCCACUUGUUUAGAUCUAGGGAAUCAAACAACAAUGCCAUAUCCAGUUGUAAAACAUACAAAUUACAAAUAGGAUAUGAAAAUAGUAACGUUUACUCAAUUUAUUUUUUUUAUAACGGUAGAAAAAGGUUUAGCUAAAUCAUAAAUUCUAUCAAAUAUUAUGUAUCGAAAGGAAAUACAGUGAUGAAGAAAUGAUGUUAAAACUUCAACUAAUCAUAGUAUUUCAUUGUUAUGACUGUCCUCAUUUAUGUAUUCUUUUUUCUAAACUUUUCGGAAAUGUUUAAUUUUGAGCCAAGAGGGUAUAUCGUAUACAACCUCUAAGGUUUGCCAAC
rnacentral:lncRNA from 1 species